GCAGGCGUGGCAGAGAGGCUUAAUGCGGCUCCCCGCUAAGGAGUUUGUCGGCUUUUCCGGCACGAAGGUUCGAAUCCUUCCGUCUGCGC
rnacentral:tRNA from 2 species